UGUUAGCCUGGAGUUCGGAAUGACGUGAUCGUUCGAUGGGAACCACGCGCUUCACAACAGUACAAUUCCGAAUUUCGCCCGAAUAUUACUAGUGCAUGCCUUGUGGAAACUGUGCAUUUAAAGUGAUCUAUAUCUAUCCGCAAUUUUUCUCCAGUGAAUUGUAACCAGUGCUGUUUAAACGCUGCAUUGAAAAAACAGGCAACAAUAAAAGACAAAGCGGAGAACGGAGUAUCAGCGCCUGUAGAAGAAAAGCUAGUCAAGCCUUCCGCCGCCAAGCAGGCCGAUCAAGCUACAAAGCCAGCUGACGAGAAACCACGAUUCACUAGGACUGCACUCAAAAGUGCUUUAAAAUCAGAAGAUAAACCUUCCAAUGACAAAGCAGAUAAGCCGACAUUGAGAAGUGUGAGAACAAUAGAUGACAAAGCCAAAGAGAAAUCAGUAACUAUAGUUGACAAGAGACCAGAAAAAAAUGGUCCUACUAAAACAAAUAGCACGGUAAAUGACAAAUCUGAUAAAUCAUCAGUUGUGAACAAAGACACUAAGCCCGUGACGAAAGUUGUUAAUGACAAACCUGCGCCUAAGGUUGUCGAAAAACCGGCUCCAAAAGCCCCUGAAAAGGUAGUGUUAAAGCCCGUGCCUGCUAAAGAGGUGGAAUCUAAACCUUCGCCUACAAAACAGGAGACCAAGCCAGCUGCUAAAGCUGAACCGAAAGGUACUGAAAAAGCUGUAGAGAAGUCAGAAAGCUCAGAAAUGGCAACAAAACCACCUCUAGAUAAGGGUCCUUCUAAGCUCCCACCGCGCAAACCUUCUCUUCAAAAGCAGCCCUCAAAGGAUGACAUGCCAGUGAAGAAAUGGCGUGAUCCUCUGCAUGAGCGGGUAAAGGAGAACAUUGACAAGACCCUGAAUAAUGAAGUACCUAAAGGUCACACGCUGACUAAGAAUGAGAGCUUGAGAAGUUUGCUGAAGCCCACACCACCGCCGAUGCCUCCUCCCAUGCCACCAAAAAUGCCUCCUCCCCCGGAGUUCAAGAAGGCGCCGGUGGACCCCGCGAAACUGAAGAGGUUGGAGCAGCUCCGCAGUAGACCCAGGAGAAGACCAGACUGGACUGACAUGAUGAAGGAAGUGGAACAAGGAAAGAAGCUCAAACAUGUUGUUUGUAACGACAGAUCAAGCCCAAUUAUAACCACAUCGACAGUAGUGAAGAACAAGGGACAAUUCAUAUUCGAGUCCGAAAAACCGAACUCCCACAACGCGUUGCUGAAAGAGAUCUCUAAGGGUGUGAAGUUGAAGAAAACAAAAACUAAUGAUAGGAGUAAACCGAACCUGGAAGGUUUGAGGAAGUUCAGGAGGCAGAUGACGAUAGAGGAGCAAGUGCAGAAGAGUAUGUCACAGGCGAACUUAGCGUCGUCACCGUCAGGAGUCGGCCUGGCCGCGGCCGAGGCCAGUAAUUCACAUAUACCUGGUAUGAUCCCCGCUGAAGAUGAAGAAAUCGAUGAGAUGGACGAUAUUGACAAGGUCAGAGACGACUUGCAGUCCACAAAACAGUUACUGGCUAUCGAGCUAAGAAACAAAGAAGCCCAAGAGAGAGAAAACAAACGACUUCUAACAAGGAUAGCGAACUUAGAAGCAGAGUUAGCUAGAGAAAGAGCUUUCAUCAAACAAGAACAGCACAAGACUGUGAUAUCUGUCACUGAUGCUUACGACGAGAGAUUAGUGAACAACCUAAAGAUGGAAGUAGAAAAGACUAAGGAAAAUGCUGACAAUUUGGAGAAACAGUACUUACAGGCUGCUGAAGAUAGGGACACAGCUCUCACAGAACUGGAAGAAGUGAAGAGAAGAAAUGCUGAAUUAGAGAAGAAAUUGGAACAAGCUAUGUCGGGCAUCAUGCCAACGAGCAUGGGUUCGCGGCGCUCGAGCCACGCCAUCAAACAGCUGUCCGUUACCAAGGACGACAGCUUCGAGGAAGAAGAGGAAUCCGAUGAUGAAGAGGAGGAAAGCGAAGAAAAGAAACAGAAGCGACUGGAGAAGGAAGUACGCAACAUGAGGAACAAGAUCCGAUACCUAAAAGAGAAACAGGAUCACAUGAAGCGAGAGCGCAUGGGCUUCAAGAUGUCGCUCAAGAACCAACAGGCUGCGCUUAAAGAGGAGAAACGAAAAUACAAGGAGUUGAAACGCGAAGUCGACAAGAUGGCAGCCAUGAUGAAGGAAUGUGGUUCAGAAGAUGAGGACGAUGAGGAGGAGGAGGAAGAAUCAGAAGAGGAGAAGAAGUCAGAGUCAGAAGAAGAAGAAUCUGAGACUGAAACCGAACAAGACACUGAAAGUGAGACGGAGAGUGAAAGUGAACCAGAGGAUGCUCCUCUACCCAACAAGAAAGAAAACCUCACGAAACGCAUGAAGCGACACGAGACCAGGGUGCACGCGCUCAAGAAGGGCAAUGCCCUCCUCAUGGCCAAUGUAGACCGCUUGAAGGACGAUGUUCUCAAACAGAGAGAGGAAUCUGUCACUCUGCAGAAGGAGUUAGACUCUCUCAUCGAUGAUCUGGAGUGAUCGAACGCUUUUGGCACUACUCUUAAGUAAUACUAUGAAGCUAACAAUUUUAUGAGGAAUAAUCUCUUUGAUUUAUUGCAGUCUACACAGCCUUUGCAAGGCUUAUCAAGUUUUUUUAAUCGUCUCGAUAAAGCAACAGAGAACUUCUCGUGACGUUAAUAAUACGCAACUAUUUUGCACAAACCGUUAAUUUUGAUUGCUAUUUGAAAACUGAAUCUCAACAUCGAAUCUUGAGUUUUUAUUUAUGAUUUAUUUUAUUGAUGAAAUAAUCUCAAGAUAAGAAGACUUAUUGAUGUCGCUUGUCGGAGUUGAACUGUGAAUUUAAUUGAGUUGUUAUUUUGAUCUUACGAUAAAUAUAUCAAACAUAGAUCAUACCUGCCUAUAUACAUAUAUAAAAAAAAAAAGAAAAAAACAUUUCUACAUUCAAGGAUAUUCCAUUGUUGAUCAUCUUCCCUCAAUUAAAAAAAUUACAGCACCAAUCAAACUUAGAUAGUUCAAUGAUUAAAACUUUCAUUUUAUUUAUGUAGAUAGUCGAGGAAUAAUAUUUGUAUUGACGAUGAUUUCUGAUCAUUAAAAUACUAUAAUAAGGCUUUUUAAUAUAAUUAUUUGAAAAAUAAUGACUUCAACAUUUUACAAAAAUAUUUUUCAUAAUUUAUCAAAAAUGUUAACUUUCGCUUUUAAUUGUUUCCUACUUAAUAUUCCUAAUUGUAUAAUUUAUUAUUUUAAUUUACCACCAUAAUUAUUUUAAUGGUAAUACCUACCAACCCACUUACUUUUUACUCAUUUUUGCUAUCAUGUGAUUUGUACAUAAUAUUUUUAAGUUAAUAAUUAUUUAUAAAGUAUACCUACUAUUGUAUUACCAAACGACACAUUAAA